rnacentral:rRNA from 1 species
GACGAACCGUGCGAACGUUGUUCGGAAUCACUGGGCUUAAAGGGCGCGUAGGCGGCUGCGCAAGUCGGAUGUGAAAUCCCAGGGCUCAACCCUGGAACUGCAUUCGAUACUGCGUGGCUCGGGUACUGGAGAGGAGACUGGAAUUUACGGUGUAGCAGUGAAAUGCGUAGAUAUCGUAAGGAAGACCAGUGGCGAAGGCGAGUCUCUGGACAGUUACCGACGCUGAGGCACGAAGGCCAGGGGAGCAAACGGG